CUAUGCCGACCGGGUGCCCGCACUAAGUUUGGCAUCAAUAUGAUGUCCUCCUGGGAGCGGGGGGCCACCAAGUUGCCUAAGGAUGGCUGAACUGGCCCAGGUCAGAAAGGGAGCGGGUCAGAACUCCCACAUCGACUGGUAGUGGGACUAUGCCUGAUCUUGG
rnacentral:SRP_RNA from 2 species